ensembl:lncRNA
UAUAAGGGUAUGUGUUUACAUAGGUUUAUUUUAAGUACUCCUGUCUCUGGAUGGUAGUAUGCCACUGUUUGUAGCUAAACCAGUCACUGCCAUGAAUGAAAAUACAUACAUGGGCUGUCUGUGACAUAAAUUUUCUUUUCAUGGGGUGAAUGAUUUCCUACUGUAGCUGUUUUAUAAUACGGAGCACAUGCACGUGUUGGAGGAGGUUGGUGUGCAGAGUUCUGUGUCAAUAGAAGUUUGAAUCAAACGCCCUUUGCUCCUACGUGGGGCUCUUCUCUGUCUUUCUUGAGUGAUACAGGCACUGUAAACUCACUCAAAUAAAACCUGAUCUGAGCACUACCUUUCUGACAUGUAUCCAUUCAUUCUCUUCUUAUUUAGCAGAGAGGAUACUCCAUUAAUACCUUCAGCUCAGGAGUGUAUUUGUGCAGCAAAAUAAAGCAUGCUGUUUCAUGGCAGCUGCUUUUAUGUUUUCUGAGCGAUGGAUGUAUUUACUACACCCUCAGUACCUCUGCACAGAAAACUGAACUGCUACCUAGAGCUGAGCAGUGCAAGAAGACCCUGUUGGAGAGCUGUGCUGUGCCUGCAGGCCUCAACCUGAAUUCCCAGCACAUCUCAUGGAAAUCGGAUUGAAAGCUGACGGAAAUUGAGUGCACAAAAGGAUGGCACCCAAAGGACUUCAAGUUGAUGAGGACCCUGCACUCCAGACAUGCAAUCUUCAGGUGCUAUGCUCUUAUUAGACUAGCAAGUCUGGCUUGGAACAGGAGGUGGGGACUGUGAAUGUGCUUGCUCAGGUGUCUGACGGUCACCAAUGAGGAAAGUAAUGUUUAAACCACCAUAUACCUGUCAGCGUAACACACCCUCUGUACUGUUUAACACUGGAAUCUCGCCGUGAUGCUCGUGUCACUUUCCGUACCGCUUGUUGCGCAUUAAAGAAGUCACUCAGCUGUGCUGCCAUCAGUGUUCAUUAAUUCAUACAGAACCCCGAGGGAAUCGCUUAUUUCUGCUAUAAAAUUAAUGGAAAGUACUGAAGGUAAG